rnacentral:rRNA from 1 species
GGGGCAAGCGUUGUCCGGAAUCAUUGGGCGUAAAGCGCGUGUAGGCGGUCCGGUAAGUCCGCUGUGAAAGUCCAGGGCUCAACCCUGGGAUGCCGGUGGAUACUGUCGGGCUAGAGUACGGAAGAGGCGAGUGGAAUUCCCGGUGUAGCGGUGAAAUGCGCAGAUAUCGGGAGGAACACCAAUUGCGAAGGCAGCUCGCUGGGACGUUACUGACGCUGAGACGCGAAAGCGUGGGGAGCAAACAGG